rnacentral:rRNA from 1 species
UACGGGGGGGGUAAGCGUUGUUCGGAAUUACUGGGCGUAAAGGGCUCGUAGGCGGCCAACUAAGUCGGACGUGAAAUCCCUCAGCUUAACUGGGGAACUGCGUCCGAUACUGGAUGGCUUGGAUUUGGGAGAGGGAUGCGGAAUUCCAGGUGUAGCGGUGAAAUGCGUAGAUAUCUGGAGGAACACCGGUGGCGAAGGCGGCAUCCUGGACCGACAUUGACGCUGAGGCGCGAAAGCCAGGGGAGCAAACGGG